AGCGAACGCUGGCGGCAGGCCUAACACAUGCAAGUCGAACGGAUCCUUCGGGAUUAGUGGCGGACGGGUGAGUAACACGUGGGAACGUGCCCUUUGGUUCGGAACAACUCAGGGAAACUUGAGCUAAUACCGGAUGUGCCCUUCGGGGAAAGAUUUAUCGCCAUUGGAGCGGCCCGCGUCGGAUUAGCUAGUUGGUGGGGUAAAGGCCCACCAAGGCGACGAUCCGUAGCUGGUCUGAGAGGAUGAUCAGCCACAUUGGGACUGAGACACGGCCCAAACUCCUACGGGAGGCAGCAGUGGGGAAUCUUGCGCAAUGGGCGAAAGCCUGACGCAGCCAUGCCGCGUGAAUGAUGAAGGUCUUAGGAUUGUAAAAUUCUUUCACCGGGGACGAUAAUGACGGUACCCGGAGAAGAAGCCCCGGCUAACUUCGUGCCAGCCGCCGCGGUAAAAC
rnacentral:rRNA from 1 species